ACCCUUUUCAAUUUACUUUCACCAUUUUUGCCGAAAAAUUUCAUCUUUAUUUGUAUGCAAUCAAACGAAGCUCAUCCCAGAACCUUCCACCAAGUAAGCAAACCAUCUUUUGCCAAUUUACGGUAACAAUUCUUGUUCCAAAUUCCGUAAAUUUAAUUUGGGCAUUACCCAAUCCUCGAGCUUUAUUAAUCGGUUUUCUUUCAAUUGGGUAUUUACAUUUCUGUUAAACUCUAAUUGUAGGUGAAUUUCAUGUUAAUUUUUAGCCGUUGGUAGAGAAAUUUGAUUAUAGCUUUAGUAUUUGUUGAAAAAUAAGGAAAUGGAGGCAAGCAGCAGUAGUGUUCUAGUGAAUUCCAACUUAGAGCCUAGGGAUGAUCUUGAAUUCGACACACACGAAGCAGCGUACGCGUAUUACAAAGAAUACGCGAAAUCUGUAGGGUUCGGUACAGCUAAAUUGAGCAGCCGUCGCUCAAGGGCUUCGAAAGAAUUCAUCGAUGCCAAAUUUUCGUGCAUUAGGUACGGGAAUAAGCAGCAAUCGGAUUAUGCUGUUAACCCGAGGCCUUCUCCGAAGAUAAGUUGCAAAGCUAGCUUGCACGUGAAGCGUAGGCCUAAUGGGAAGUGGCACGUUCAUAGCUUCGUGAAGGAGCAUAAUCACGAGCUUUUACCGGCUCAAUCGCACUUUUUUAGAAGCCAUAGGAUUGCUGAUUCUGCCAAUGAUGCGAAAGUGAGGAAGAGGAAAGUCCCUGCGUCUGUGUUGAAACAGUAUGGCGCUUAUCAGUUUUUUGACAAUGUGAUCCGGAAUCAGCAUGACAGGGGGCGGUUUUUGAGCUUGGAAGAGGGCGGUGCUCAGGUUUUACUCGAGUUUUGUUCACAAAUGCAUGAAGAGAAUCCGAAAUUUUUCUAUGCGUUGGACUUCAAUGAAGAGCAUCGGUUGAGAAAUGUGUUUUGGGUUGAUGCUAAAGGCGUGGAGGAUUUCACUUACUUUGGUGAUGUGGUCUCGCUCGACACGACCUAUUUCACAAGCAAGUAUAGAGUUCCUUUGGUUCUUUUUGUGGGAGUGAACCAUCACAUCCAGCCGACGUUGCUUGGUUGUGGGUUGAUAGCAGAUGAGACGUUAUAUACGUUUAUUUGGUUGAUGCAAUCGUGGUGUUUGGCGAUGGGUGGACGAAGCCCUAAAGUGCUACUCACCGACCAUAAUGAGGCUAUCAAAGCUGCUGUAACUCUCGCCUUUCCAGAAACUCGUAAUUAUUUCCAUUUGUGGCACAUUCUGGAAAGGUUACCGAGAAGGCUUCAGUUCCGUAACUGCUGGCAUGAAUCUUUCAUGGGGAAACUGAAUAAAUGUUUGUAUAGAUCGUGGAACGAAGAAAAUUUUGAAAAAAGAUGGGGGAAGUUGACUGAAAGAUUCAAUAUUCAAGAGGAUGAAUGGUUUCGGUCCUUAUAUGAAGAUCGGAAACUCUGGGUGCCUGCGUUUACAAAAGAUGUUUCUUUUGCUGGGUUGUCAGCAGCUUCGAGGUCUGAAAGCUUGAACUCUUUCUUUGAUAGAUACAUCAAUGAGGAAACUUCUUUGAGAGAUUUUAUCGGGAAAUACGAAUCGAUUCUUGCAGACAGAUAUGAAGAGGAGGCUAAAGCAAAUUUUGAUGCAUGGCAUGAAACUCCAGAGCUGAAGUCACCUUCGCCCUUCGAGAAACAAAUGCUGCUUGUUUACAGUCAUGAGAUAUUCCGGAAAUUUCAAACGGAGGUUCUCGGAGCAGCGGCUUGCCAUCUGAAAAAAGAAAACGAAGAUGGUCCAACUGUAGUGUAUGGAGUGAAAGACUUCGAAAAUAAUCUCGAUUAUUUGGUGGAAUGGAAUGAGCUGAAAUCCGAUAUAUACUGUUCUUGUCGUACAUUUCAAUCUAAAGGAUAUCUCUGCAGGCAUUGUAUCGUAGUUCUCCAAAUGUCCAGUGUCUUUAGCAUACCGUGUAAGUACAUACUGCAACGUUGGACAAAUGCUGCCACGAGCAAAAUUCCACUAAGUGAAAAAUUGGAUGAAGUCCAAGCUAAGGUCAGACGUUACAAUGACCUUUGUCGACGAGCUAUAAUACUGGGGGAAGAGGGUUCGUUGUCGGAUGAGAGUUAUAACAAUGCAGUGGCUGCAAUAAAUGAAGCCCUCAAACAAUGUACGAUAGCAAAUCAACCAAACGUUUCUGCACCUCUCGCCAUACUAGGUGUUGGAGGCGCGGACCAUAACGUCACCAUCACAUCUGGACAGCAGGUGCUGCCUACGGCUAAAGUGAUUGAUACAAGUAAAGGUUCGAAGAGGACGGAUUUUGGGAAGGAGGCUGCAAGCAAUGACGGGAUGACUGGUAAAAAGGGGAAGGUGCUGUUGGAGCCUCCAAUAACUAAUAUCGGAACUCUUGCCAUUUUUCCGCAUAUGGAUAUGGCCGGUCCCCUGGAUUAUCCUGCUCUGUACCCAAGAUUCCUCACAACGUUAUUAAAAGGCGACGAGAUGUCCAAGAGAGGCGUGGAGAUGCUGGCCGAGAUGUUGGAGGAACCAAACUGAAGGUACGAAGGUCAUCUAGAAGACAUUUGGAAACGAAGACAAGUUUUUUCGUGCUCAAAUGUGCAUAGUCUCAUAGCUCACAGAUAGCCUCUCCUUUCAUUUCUGAUGACGGAAGCACGCCUCUGGCUGUAUGGAUGCUGAGACGACAUCCGUUCAGAUGCAAAUUCUGCGUGCUGCAAAAAACAGAGGGGAUGCUGCUGCUUCGUCGUGGCUAGACCGAGCCCAGGUUUGGAAACGGGUCGUCUGCUGCUAGAAAGAGGCAUUUGGACACGUUCAGAAAGUGGCACGGCGCGCUCUGCUUGUUGCCGUUGCAUAUGUGCUUGUAACAUAUGUCGACAAAGGUGAAGUGUGUUACCAACUGAGAUGUGCUUCGUUGUCGAUUGAUUUUGAUUAAUUGGAACUUGGAAGAUUAUGUGUCAAUGGACCAAUGGCACACACACACACUCUCUCUCACUCAUAUAUCACAUCACACACUCUAUCACAAUAAAAAUAUAGUUUUGUAUUUAUAGAAAAACCAAAGCAUAUUAUCACAUGCUUUCCUUAAUGUUGCUCAAGUCUUAACCAACUUGUCCUUUUCA